AGAGGGAGAGACAGAGGGAGAGACAGAGGGAGGGAGAGGGAGAGAGAGGGAGAGACAGAGGGAGAGACAGAGGGAGAAACAGAGGGAGAGACAGAGGGAGAGACAGAGAGGGAGAGACAGAGGGAGAGACAGAGAGGGAGAAACAGAGGGAGAGACAGAGAGGGAGAGACAGAGGGAGAGACAGAGGGAGAGACAGAGGGAGAGACAGAGGGAGAAACAGAGGGAGAGAGAGAAACAGAGGGAGAGACAGAGGGAGAGAGGGAGAGACAGAGAGGGAGAAACAGAGGGAGAGACAGAGGGAGAGACAGAGGGAGAGACAGAGGGAGAGACAGAGAGGGAGAAACAGAGAGGGAGAGAGAGGGAGAAACAGAGGGAGAAACAGAGGGAGAAACAGAGAGAGAGAGACAGAGAGAGCAGAGAGAGCGCGAGAGAGAGAGAAAGAGAGAGAGAGAACAAGACAGAGAGCGCGAGAGAGAGAGCGAGAUGGAGACAGAGAGCGAGAGCGAGAGAGGGAGAGAGCAAGAGAGGAGGUACUGGUUAGUGAUAAGUGAGGGGAACUGUAGAGGACAGUGAACAAUCAGAAGAACAAUCUGGCCUUUAUGGCCAUGUACUCUUAUAAUCUCCACCCGGCACAGCCAGAAGAGGACUGGCCACCCCUCAGAGCCUGGUUCUUCUCUAGGUUUCUUCCUAGAUUCCUGUCUUUCUAGGGAGUUUUUCCUAGCCACCGUGCUUCUACAUCUGCAUGGCUUGCUGUUUGAGGUUUUAGCCUGGGUUUCUGUACAAGCACUUUGUGACAUCAGCUGAUGUAAAAAGGGCUUUUUAAAUACAUUUGAUUGAUUGAUUGAACAGAGACUUAGUCCCUUUUCAGUGAGAGGUCUGUUCACUCAACCGAUCAGACGAUACAGGGUCCUCUACCCACAACAGGGAUGGUUGUUCUUCACACCAGUUAUCCUCCAGACAGACUUCUCAAAACAAAACUGGCUACCAGGAACGCUCUGAGAAAAGGACGGGUGUGCUAUCUUGUCAUCGAUGCCAGUAGAAAUGGGGGCUUCAGCAAUACGGAACGUGUAAUAUAGUCAAUUGGUAGGGUGACAGUACAGUUUGAACCUCGCACGGGCAGAGAUCCUAAGAAAAACACAGAUCAAAAGACCGUUUUGUCUCAUCGUCAUUCACCUCCUCAACAAACUGGGUCCGUGUACAGCCUUGGGCUUGGUGGAGUGGUGUAGUGCAACAGUGGGGCGCUGAAGUGCUGCCUGGGGGGCUUACGGAGUGGGAGAAACAGCCCUGUAUGAAGACAGACUGUGGGGGUAGUACGGCCCCAGCCUGUAGUUCAGCUGUAAACCGUCCAGUGCUGACAGAGUUGUGAGACCGAUGAUGUCACUGUAGAUGACCGCACAAAGGACUUGUCAUGUGUGUGUGUCUGGUGUGUGUGUGUCUGGUGUUUGUGUGUGUGAGACUGGUGAGUGUGUGUGUGUCUCUGGUGAGCGGGUGUGUGUGUGUGGGUCUGGUAAGCAUGUGUGUGUGUGUGUGUGUGUGUCUGGUGAGCGUGUGUGUGUCUGGUGAGCGUGUGUGUGUGUGUGUCUGGUGAGCGUGUGUGUGUGUGUCUGGUGAGCGUGAGUGUGUCUGGUGAGCGUGAGUGUGUGUCUGGUGAGCGUGUCUGGUGUGUGUCUGCGUGUGUGUGUGUGUGUCUGGUGAGCGUGUGUGUGUGUGUUCAGCCCUUCCUAACUGAUCCUUGCAGGAUGGACCAACAGAAUGUCUUGGCCAGAGAGCUGCUCAUCUCCUCACAUCACAGGAGCUGAAAG
ensembl:lncRNA